rnacentral:rRNA from 1 species
GUUUGAUCCUGGCUCAGGACGAACGCUGGCGGCGUGCCUAAUACAUGCAAGUAGAACGCUGAAGAGAGGAGCUUGCUCUUCUUGGAUGAGUUGCGAACGGGUGAGUAACGCGUAGGUAACCUGCCUUGUAGCGGGGGAUAACUAUUGGAAACGAUAGCUAAUACCGCAUAACAAUGGAUGACACAUGUCAUUUAUUUGAAAGGGGCAAUUGCUCCACUACAAGAUGGACCUGCGUUGUAUUAGCUAGUAGGUGAGGUAACGGCUCACCUAGGCGACGAUACAUAGCCGACCUGAGAGGGUGAUCGGCCACACUGGGACUGAGACACGGCCCAGACUCCUACGGGAGGCAGCAGUAGGGAAUCUUCGGCAAUGGGGGCAACCCUGACCGAGCAACGCCGCGUGAGUGAAGAAGGUUUUCGGAUCGUAAAGCUCUGUUGUAAGUCAAGAACGAGUGUGAGAGUGGAAAGUUCACACUGUGACGGUAGCUUACCAGAAAGGGACGGCUAACUACGUGCCAGCAGCCGCGGUAAUACGUAGGUCCCGAGCGUUGUCCGGAUUUAUUGGGCGUAAAGCGAGCGCAGGCGGUUUGAUAAGUCUGAAGUUAAAGGCUGUGGCUCAGCCAUAGUUCGCUUUGGAAACUGUCAAACUUGAGUGCAGAAGGGGAGAGUGGAAUUCCAUGUGUAGCGGUGAAAUGCGUAGAUAUAUGGAGGAACACCGGUGGCGAAAGCGGCUCUCUGGUCUGUAACUGACGCUGAGGCUCGAAAGCGUGGGGAGCGAACAGGAUUAGACACCCUGGUAGUCCACGCCGUAAACGAUGAGUGCUAGGUGUUGGAUCCUUUCCGGGAUUCAGUGCCGCAGCUAACGCAUUAAGCACUCCGCCUGGGGAGUACGACCGCAAGGUUGAAACUCAAAGGAAUUGACGGGGGCCCGCACAAGCGGUGGAGCAUGUGGUUUAAUUCGAAGCAACGCGAAGAACCUUACCAGGUCUUGACAUCCCGAUGCUAUUUCUAGAGAUAGAAAGUUACUUCGGUACAUCGGUGACAGGUGGUGCAUGGUUGUCGUCAGCUCGUGUCGUGAGAUGUUGGGCUAGGUCCCGCAACGAGCGCAACCCCUAUUGUUAGUUGCCAUCAUUCAGUUGGGCACUCUAGCGAGACUGCCGGUAAUAAACCGGAGGAAGGUGGGGAUGACGUCAAAUCAUCAUGCCCCUUAUGACCUGGGCUACACACGUGCUACAAUGGUUGGUACAACGAGUUGCGAGUCGGUGACGGCAAGCUAAUCUCUUAAAGCCAAUCUCAGUUCGGAUUGUAGGCUGCAACUCGACUACAUGAAGCUGGAAUCGCUAGUAAUCGCGAAUCAGAAUGUCGCGGUGAAUACGUUCCCGGGUCUUGUACACACCGCCCGUCACACCAUGGGAGUCAGUAACGCCCGAAGUCAGUGACCCAACCGCAAGGAGGGAGCUGCCGAAGGUGGGACCGAUAACUGGGGUGAAGUCGUAACAAGGUAGCCG